rnacentral:misc_RNA from 1 species
CAUCAGUGAUGCAUCUGAGCUGGUAUUAUCACUUAAAUCUUUUCCUUUUAUUUUAUUCACAGAAAUUUUCUUACUUUCAUACUGCAGUUUACUGCAAUUAGUAGAGGCUGGUUAGCUUGUGCUUGUUGAUGUCAAAUUAAAUGCCUUGUACGGUUUGAUAAUUGCGGGGGGUUUUGUUUAUUUGUCUUCCUUUUCAAUAUCCUCUUGCUUCGU